rnacentral:rRNA from 1 species
GAUGAACGCUGGCGGCGUGCCUAAUACAUGCAAGUCGAGCGAACAGACGAGGAGCUUGCUCCACUGACGUUAGCGGCGGACGGGUGAGUAACACGUGGAUAACCUACCUAUAAGACUGGGAUAACUUCGGGAAACCGGAGCUAAUACCGGAUAAUAUAUUGAACCGCAUGGUUCAAUAGUGAAAGACGGUUUUGCUGUCCCUUAUAGAUGGAUCCGCGCCGCAUUAGCUAGUUGGUAAGGUAACGGCUUACCAAGGCAACGAUGCGUAGCCGACCUGAGAGGGUGAUCGGCCACACUGGAACUGAGACACGGUCCAGACUCCUACGGGAGGCAGCAGUAGGGAAUCGUCCGCAAUGGGCGAAAGCUUGACGGAGCAACGCCGCGUGAGUGAUGAAGGUCUUCGGAUCGUAAAACUCUGUUAUUAGGGAAGAACAAAUGUGUAAGUAACUAUGCACGUCUUGACGGUACCUAAUCAGAAAGCCACGGCUAACUACGUG